UUUCUUUCGUUAGAAGAGAAAGAAAGAGAAUAAUAAGGAGGGAAAAUGAAAGAUAAAGUUGCAUUUUACGUACUAUUUAUUUCUUGACUACAACUAUUUUGCUUGCAUCACAGUAUUGAGAUGAUCUUUUGUUUUAAAUUUAAUUUGAAGAUAUAUUUUUUGAAUUUGAAGAUAAAGUUUUCAUUUUAAGUUGAAAACUCUUUUUUGAAUUUUCUACUAAUAUAGAAACAUGAGUGGAAAGCUGGAUCGUCGUCCGCCUAAGGCAAUUAUGACAUUUUCAUGAAACCCAGAAGCUUCUUCUUAUUUUUUUCUUUUAACCAAACCGAGCUUCUUUUUCUUAACCAAACCCAGAAGCUACUCACUUUCUUGACGCGCCACUUUCUGUUAAAAAAAAAUAUAUCAGCAAAUCAAGAAGCUUUUAGUAGAAAAAUAUAGUGUAAUUUUUGCUCAUAUCAUCUAGCUCAGAUUGUUGCUGCAGUUUUCAAAUAUUUGUUUUUGAAGUUUUAUUUCAAUUUUACUAUAAUAGAAGAGUGGGUUUAACCACCAGAUUGUCGUCAAUCCAUUCUCACUGCUAAAGGGCAUUUUCAUCAUUUUAGGUCUAAGCCCUUUUCUUAUUUCAAUCCAGCUUUCAGCCAAGUGCCAUAUCCUAUCUGUCAUAGUAAAUCAAUUUUCUCAGGUUAAUCAGAGUAGUAUUGUGAAAUUUCCAGCAUGCUUUUGGUGCUUGCAGAGAAGAGCUUUACUCAAUGCUAUUGGUAACUUGGGGCUAAUAGGACCUUAUGGAGAUGCUUUAACUAAGCUUGAAUGCAGUUUAGAUUGGAUGGAGAGGUUUCUACUCCAUUGACUUCUUCAGGAGCCAUUUCUAGAAUGGCUUACAGGUAGUAUACGCCACGUCAUCAGUGCUGUUUGGAUUAAAGAACAAGUAUAAGGACUGACAAGCAGAAGUUAUUGGAGUUGUUUCUUGAAAACUUUAGUCACUAUUGCUCAUCUGGUAAUGGUAAUAAAUUUUCUCCGCUUGAGAAAUUCUGUUACUACAAAGCUUAAAUCUAUAAAUGGAGAAGAGAAUAAUGACUAAGUUGAUUAAAUUUUGGAUAAUUUAAAGGUACGAAAAGUAAUAUAACUACCUGUACAAGAUAAUAACUACAUAAUUUUUGAAGUCAAUUAUUGACUUAUUGCUAAGAAAAAAAAAAGAGCAACGUUUAAAUGUUUAAGCUUUUAAUUGGAGAUGAAAUUGUGCAAUUUACCGGUAUUUUUUAUUACUAACUGCAUAAGUUCAUGGUGAACAUAUUAUGUUGCUGAACUCUCGAUUGACAAGGUGAACAUUAUUCUAUAAGACUUUCAUUGGAUUGUAAAGUUUGGAAUAUAUACUGACAUGGUGUAUUGAUGCGGAAGUACGAAUAUAGCACUUAAAUCACAUAAAAUAUAAAACAGAAUUCAGGUUAUCUCCUCUUGAAUUUUGACCAACUCUUUUUUUCCCCCUUCCUUAAUCUAGUAUGAUGCAUUUUGUCUGAUGUGUCUUUCAGAGGCUUUUUCCUGAUAUGUUCUGAUUUUUAGAUGCUUGUGUAUUACUGAUACUUUGGUUCCUACAUUGUUUCUGUCUUCUUCAGAUUUACUCUCUAUUAUGGUAAUUGCGUGUUCAUCAUUUCAGAGUCGGCUAAGUAUUGCUUCUUCCUGUUGCAAGGAGGCCAACAUCCCAAAGUUGAUCCUUAUAUUUUGGAUGGUUAAGACUUAAGCAUUAGAAAUUAUUGGUCAUGUUAUUGUCAUUUAAAGUUGUUAAGUAACAGAAUAACUUUUUUUUUCUUCAAUUUAUGUAUCCUUUGAGUGGUAGACAAUGACGAAUCAUUGGAAUAACUUAACAUGCUAGACCAGUAGUUUGUACAUGCUACAUUACGGAGAGAACGUUGUUGAGUACAUCAUCUUUGUUUUUUUCGUUCAUUUUUCUGUAUUCUAAAUUGGUACAAUGUGAUGAAACUAUUUGUAAUAUUGAGCUUAUAUGCAGAUUUAAUCUCUGCAUUCAGUUGGAUUUCCUGCAA